rnacentral:misc_RNA from 1 species
GAUUGAAGAACGUAGCGAAAUGCGAUAAGUAAUGUGAAUUGCAGAGUUUUGUGAAUCAUCGAAUCUUUGAACGCACAUUGCGCCCCUCGGUAUUCCGACGGGCAUGCCUGUCCGAGCGUCGUUGCAACCCAUCGAGUAACAUGUUCUCGGUCUUGGGCGCCGUCCCAUCGACGCCCCUCGCGGGGCCGGGACGGGCCCCAAACCCCUCGGCGGCCCUGGGUGCCCGCCGGAGCGUCUUCGAAAGCAAUCGCUCCGCGCGCGGCGCCCCGGGGGCUCCUGCCGCGACGACCACACCAAACGUCUUGACCUCGGAUCAGGUAGGGCUACCCGCUGAACUUAAGCAUAUCAAUAAGCGGAGGA